GGAAAUUCAAGUGAUGGAAAAGAGGAAAAUUCAAGUGAUGGCCAGUGUGAAAAAAGAUGAAAAUGUGCGAUACCUGUGAUUCCAAUAGCAGUGCACCUAGUGAAAUUAAUAUUACCUUUGGAAAUAUGUCUUUCUCAUUCAAAUUCUGAUAUGUUUCUGGUGUCACAUUUACAGAACCAUUCAUUAAAAUGGUCAGCAUAUUUGUUGUGCAUGUAUGCCUUUCUCUGGGGAUGAUAUGGAUAUGAUAAAUUCGUAUUGUUGUAAAAUAAUAUUUUAAAUACCAAUGUUGGUAUUUAUGUUUAUUUUAAUUAAAGUAAAUUUUCCUAACUGUU
rnacentral:sRNA from 1 species